rnacentral:rRNA from 1 species
UGGGCGUAAAGGGCUCGUAGGUGGUUGAUCGCGUCGGAAGUGUAAUCUUGGGGCUUAACCCUGAGCGUGCUUUCGAUACGGGUUGACUUGAGGAAGGUAGGGGAGAAUGGAAUUCCUGGUGGAGCGGUGGAAUGCGCAGAUAUCAGGAGGAACACCAGUGGCGAAGGCGGUUCUCUGGGCCUUUCCUGACGCUGAGGAGCGAAAGCGUGGGGAGCGAACAGGCUUAGAUACCCUGGUAGUCCACGCUGUAAACGGUGGGUACUAGGUGUGGGGUCCAUUCCACGGGUUCCGUGCCGUAGCUAACGCUUUAAGUACCCCGCCUGGGGAGUACGGCCGCAAGGCUAAAACUCAAAGGAAUUGACGGGGCCCCGCACAAGCGGCGGAGCAUGCGGAUUAAUUCGAUGCAACGCGUAGAACCUUACCUGGGUUUGACAUGGAUCGGGAGUGCUCAGAGAUGGGUGUGCCUCUUUUGGGGUCGGUUCACAGGUGGUGCAUGGCUGUCGUCAGCUCGUGUCGUGAGAUGUUGGGUUAAGUCCCGCAACGAGCGCAACCCUUGUUCACUGUUGCCAGCACGUUAUGGUGGGGACUCAGUGGAGACCGCCGGGGUCAACUCGGAGGAAGGUGGGGAUGACGUCAAGUCAUCAUGCCCCUUAUGUCCAGGGCUUCACGCAUGCUACAAUGGCUGGUACAGAGAGUGGCGAGCCUGUGAGGGUGAGCGAAUCUCGGAAAGCCGGUCUCAGUUCGGAUUGGGGUCUGCAACUCGACCUCAUGAAGUCGGAGUCGCUAGUAAUCGCAGAUCAGCAACGCUGCGGUGAAUACGUUCCCGG